UACAGGGGGUGCAAACGUUGCUCGGAAUUACUGGGCGUAAAGCGCACGUAGGCGGCUUUCUAAGUCGGGGGUGAAAUCCUGGAGCUCAACUCCAGAACUGCCUUCGAUACUGGGGAGCUCGAGUCCGGGAGAGGUGAGUGGAACUGCGAGUGUAGAGGUGAAAUUCGUAGAUAUUCGCAAGAACACCAGUGGCGAAGGCGGCUCACUGGCCCGGUACUGACGCUGAGGUGCGAAAGCGUGGGGAGCAAACAGG
rnacentral:rRNA from 1 species